CCGUCUUCAGCCUCCAGUCCUGGCACAGCCUCCCUGUUGCUGUCCGCGGGAUGGAGAGGAGGCCUGGUAGCGGGCCCAGCCCCGUGUUCUCAGACUCGCGCCCCCCCCCCACCCCGCCCCGCUUCACUCUCGCAGCCCUGCCCCCUCUCCUCUGGUUCCACCAGCUGUGUUUUGCUCUCACCGUUUUGCCGGGUCCUUCCCCCUGUAGACAGCCAUCAGCCGUCGUUUGCUGCUGAAUCGUUCCUCGAGUUACCCAGGCCUACCCAAGGAACGCCUUCGUUUUUUGUUUUUGAGGAGUCUGGUGGGCAGAGGCUGGAGGGACAUUUAUGAGGGUAACCAUGUAGUCCUGUACUGCACUUUGGAAAACGCUCCCACGGGCAGUUCAGUUUCCAAGGAAAUUUGCCCUUUGCCCUCUUUGCACCUUUGAUACAUUCUGAAAUUUUUCUCAGGCUUUGAACACUGGUGGGGGUGAGGGCAGAGGGGUCACUCUGUCCAUAGCAAAUUAUUCUUAAAAUACAUGAAUGUUGGGAAACGCUGUCUGGUCAUCAGUGGGACUUGAAAGCGUGGUCCUAAUUGUUUGAUUCUUGAUGCCGAGUGCUUAACUGACCCCAAAGCCAAGUUUCCAGGGUGCAGAGAGAUGGCUCUCAGUUUCGGACAGAAGUCCGUCCUCACCCUCCCUCACUUUCUGUCCUCAUCCUGUGGUCUCCCUUUACGAUCGAUCUACUGUGAAAGGUGUUUUUAUCGUGAUAUCUGACCUAAUUCAGUAACGAAGCCAAGCCCUUACCUUAGCUCUUAGCUGUGAAAUGUGAAAUAACUCUGGAAAUUUCCCCUCUCCAAGCAUAAAUGCUACUUAUCCUACAAAGAAAUCGGUCCCCAGGUUGGAACCAGCCUAGUCCCAGCCUUAGGCCGGAAGGAAGGAAGGGCACCAUGUCCCACUCGAGGCAGGGCAGGCUCGGGCAGAGCCCCAGGUACCCAGCGGGCCCGCCAGGGAGCCAUUGGCAACAGGACAAGAUUCUGUCCUCGUGGUGCCACGAUCAAUACGUCUUUAUCCGGACAUGGGGAAGUGCCGUCGUUCUGAGACGACAGAAACAUGGCCCGUCCAGAGAGUGAGGGGAGGAAAGUCUUUGGAGGACAUGUGAGCCAGAGUGCUCCCAGAGCCGCGCCAGCCUGGGGAACCAUCUCUGUUCUGGACUCUUGGCAUCCGGAGGGCAGCAGUGCCCCGUCCGAUCUUCCCGCGCCCAGUUACAGAAGUCUUGGCUGCAGUGAGCCAGCAUUUUUGCCUUAUUGGGUAGCAUCCUGGACCCCCUUGUACAGUUCACUUCCAGCCCUUUCUAGAUCUGAUCUUUUAUAGGAAAAGACAACAUAGCCUUCCAUUUUAAAGAAAAUUAUUUUGUCUACUUAAGUUGGAAGUUGCUCUUUCACCUGAUAUUUUCUUUCCUUUUCUUCCAGAUCAGGAAUGAAAGUUUCGUGCUGCUCAUAAAGAUAUUAUUGUACUAAUUAUUUUGGUUUUUAUCAUAAUCAUCAUUUUGAUACUUUAGUUGGGGUUUUAAAAUGCACAUUUAUUCCACGUAUCUUUGUGUUUUCUCUUUAAUAUUUAAGUUUAUUUUAUUAUAUCUGUGAGUAUCUGAGUAAACAGGAGGGACAUGCAGAUGUCUAGUUUUGUCAGACCAAAAAGAAGGAAAGGAAAGAUCCAGGAAUUAGGAAAAUGUCAAGAAAUAUCCACCACAGAACAAAAGUUUGAAGAAUCAAAGCCUGUAUCUCUAUACAGGUCAGAUUGGGCUCUGGACAACAUGGUCCAUGGUCACCAUCAAUGCUGUAUUCUUCUAGAUUCUCAGUGGCCUGAGAGGAGAUCUGAGGAGGCAUCUCAUGGGCUGAACCCUUAGCCGUGGUCCUCUCCCAUGUUCCCUGUGCUUCUGAAACCUGCUAAGUAGAUCCUGGGCAUGCCUCGUGUCUGAUACUGACCUGUCAAGCAAAAAAAAAAACAAAAAAAACUCUGCCCAGAGCUGACUCAGCCCCUUUCCCAAAUGUCCCCCCCUUUUCCCAUCAGCACACCAGGAGUAUGGCUUACAUCCUUCGGUGCAGAGAUAACUGACCCCUCCUAGAAGCCACUGGAGGUAAACAAGCUGAUGGAAAGUGCUAGGCAGGUGGUACCUUCCCCUGGGAAACGUCAGCCUCCCUUCCUCUCACUAACCACACUGCCCACUUCUUCAGUGCCCCCCGAACCCCGGUACAUGUUCUCAGCACACAAUUGUAGGGACAAACUAUGGAGCCAAAAAAAAGGUGGAGGGUUAAUAGGAGGCCAGAGGAACACUGACAAAAGUCCAGCAGCUCCUUGGACAUUGCAGGCUGCUGCCCCCCUGAAAUAGUUGGCCGACGGAGGGGCACAGUGGGGCCUCGAGCCAGGCCCACGGGGCUCCGACUGUGCCCCUUAGGGCACGGUGCUGUGUGCCGUGGGCUUUUUAAAUCAGCUUGAGGUGCCUACACGCGACCCACCAAACGCAGAAACUGCCGGACCCCGGGUGGGUAAAGGAAGGUCUGGAAUGGCUGGCUUCACUGAAGCUAAUGAAGGGAGACACCAGGCCAUGCCCAGCCCAGAGCCGCUCAGCAAACAUUAGCGCCCUCCCCGAGUCGCUAUCUGCCUUCCUUUUCCAGCCGAGCACAGAGCUGUGGUUCCGAAGCCCCAGGAGAAGACCCCAGUGGGAGAGGCCAGCCCCUGCGUGGGCUUCCUCAGCAUCUGCCCCAGCUCCCAUCCUGCCCUCCAGCUCCGAGUCGCCCUGGCCAAUAGGAUGAAUAAAAGGCUGCCGUCCCUAAGACCCAGCUCUCAUGUAGAGGAAUGCAGACCUAGUCCUUAUUUAGAUCACAAACAACUUAGAACAUCAUCUGCUGUGGAAUUGACUCCAUCUCUCUUUACUGAGGAAACGUGGUUAAGGCUAAAAGGGAAGGUUGAAAAGGACCGGGCAAGGAGAACCUCGUAACUGGAGCCUUAGGAACCGCAGGUCGAUUUGCUUCUGCUCGGUGGGGUCUCGCAGACCCCUCUGGGUAUUUGCACCCGUAUCUCUGCGCUUAGGGGCUCUUCCGUGAUGUUUUGGCUGUUUCCAAGGAGAGGGGUGAGCAGGCCGAUGGGUGCGAGAGUCUGAGGCUUGGUGCCGGUUAAUACUGUGAAGUGGAACAUGUGGUUGAUGGAGUGCAGAGGGAAGAGAAGGGUUGGGGUCAACCAGCGGUUGUCUCCUGGACUGUAUUUGCAUUCCGGCCUUACUGGCGGUGGGUGGCUGGCGGGCUGUGGGAGCCAGCUGGCCUUGUCCUCUUCACCCUGGAAGACUCAACCCGCCCAAACACCAGAUUGUGGGAUGUAAGGAAGGGAAGGUGAGAUCAGCCCAGCUGCUAACGGGCGGAUUUCCCUUGACCAGACCUUUGGUGUUGCAAACACUCAUUUUGGAACAAGCUUGCGGUGGAGGAUUUGGGUUGUGUGAGUGCGUGUGAGUGAGUGGAGCAGACUUUCUUGGAAACUGGAGGAAGGAUAUGAGGAGGCUUACGGAGCUAUUGCUGAUGGGCUGUGGUUGAUGAAACGCGGUGCGCCGACGGGCUCGCCCCAGCUUUCCUCCCGGGUUCUCUGGCGCUGGGGCGGGGUAGGAUGUGGGGCUCUCGCUGGCCUGUUCAGCAGCUGCUGGGACAGAAGAGACAGAAGAGGAAAGCGAGGUGCCCCCAAGCAGCAGGGAGGGCGCGGCAGAGAGGCCGGGGCUCCUUCCGCAGGUCACGGGCCUCGCCGGGUGCCGCUCAACGCCAGCCCAAGCAAUUCUGCCAAGAAAUAUGCCAGCCAGGGCCAUGCAUGCUCCCCUCCCUUUUCUUCUCUGUCUUUUCCUUCUGGUGUGUCUUACAGAUUUCAGAUGGGGAAGCCUCAGAGUUGAGCAGGCCCGAGCUGUCCUAACCAAAUUGGAAAGGAAAGUGAAAGUCUUCCUUUCUUUAGCCAAAGAACCCUUCUCAAAGACACCCCAGAUAUGGACAGAGUGGCGUUCCUCUCCCGGCAAUAAUGACUUUGUCAGAGAUGCGAUCCCAUUUGUCUCUCUCUUUCGUCUCUAUCCUGACUUGGAAUUUUUUUUUUUUUUUUUUGCUUUUAUUUUAAAACUGUGCUCAUCUUGUAAGAGGAGUGGAGGUUCGUAACCCUAAAUGCUGCUGCUGUUGGGAAACUGGAGGCACCGCACGGAUCUGUGGGCUUAAAUAACCUCACGUUACCUCGGGCAUCAGCCAGAGCAGACCUUCUGCCAGGAGGUGCGGCCGCAUCAGGGUCCGGUGCACGCUGGGGCCAGACUCGGGGUGUCAGUGCUUUGCUGCCUUAGGACGCUCACUUCUGAUCUCCACAGACUGGACUCAGUGGAGAAGUGGAGACGGUGAAAUGACAUUUAAACGCAGUAGAAACCUUUUGGAGGCUUUCGGCGCCCUCGCUCACUAGAGUGACCCAACCUAGGAAAGGCUGCUCACAUCCUUCCUGCAGCUUCCAGAAGCCCAGGAGAGCCAGCUCCAAGCCAGUUCUUCCCUUGAGACCCAGUGAGAAUUUACAGAGAAGCGACCCUCCUGUGGGGCACGCUUGCUCUGGGUACCUCUACCAGCAGGGAGCUUCCUGGUGCCCCAGCUUGACUCCUGCAAGCCUUCGAGAGCCCCUAAUCACAGGCCCUUGCAUUAGAAUGCUAUGUUGACUGUCUCUUCUUGGUAAAACUUGUCACAUCCCUCCAGUGAAUAAGAGCCACCAUUUGCUGAGUGCUUUCAGUACUCCAGGCUCGUGCCAAGCCCUGUGUGAGCUCGUGGCGCCCUCAGAUCACGCCAUUUACAACACCCCCUCCCCCAUUUACAGAGGAAGGAGUUGAUGAGACAGCUGACCCUCUAAGAAAGCAGCAUGCGUUAAAGGAAAGAAAAUACCAUGGUGGCCCCAAAUCCCCAAGUUCCUAGUGAAGUUUUUUGUUAAUCAGACCUUUACUAAAAUACGAAUUGUUUCACUUCUUGAAUUAGCAUCAGUAAGUGGCCUCGUGUCUCUGAUGGACCAUCUAAUGAUGUUCCCAUUGAUUGUGUGCCAAACACUGUUCUGACAGUCGCUCACGUUUAUCCCAUGUCCUUCCGUCUUCAUAACGACCCUAUGAAAUCUGCAGUACUAGUCCCCUUACAGAUGAGGUAGCUGGCUUGGUGAGCUGGUAACCAGCCUAGGAUCACACAGCUAGUAGGGGAGCCUAGCCCUGAACCUGGGCCUGCCCAGCUCCAGAACCGAGCUCGCAGACACCAGCCUCGGCUGUCUUCUAGGUGUGUGAGCGAAGAAAGGUCUCGAAGGAACGUUGCCCCGUGCCACCCCUGCCCCAUGCAUGGAACUCAGCAGAAGGUCUGUGUGUAGAGGGAGUCCUGAAUUGGAUCCAAACAGCAGGGGCAGAAUUAGUUUGACUUUUAGAGAAAAUCUUAGGGGAGUUUCUUGAUUCAUAGUAGAGUUCAUUUUCUAUUCCUUUCCAGUGUACCAAUUAGCUUUAGUAGUGCUGCUACAACAAACUCUUAUAAGAGUGAAGAAAAAAAAAGUGUUCUUUUCUUUAAAAAAGAAAAUAAUUUUUUUUCUUGCUUAUAGUUAAUUCUAGAAAGGCAAUACUAAAGGUAUAUAUUUUUUUCAAAAUGCUAUUUUUUACUGCACUGAUAAAUAUGACAACUCUGGUCUCUGUAAUCGAUCCACUCUUCAGCUCUGGGUAGAACCAGAUGCGGGAUUCACACCAAAUUUGUAAAUACCGUAUGUGGGUCUGGUGUCCAGGAACUGUUUUCUUUGUGCUUAAAAAAAAAAAAAAAAAAAAAAAAAGAAGAAGAAGAAGAAGAAGGAGAAAGACAAGAUGACUUUCAGAAAGAGGAACAAAGUUUUCUUUCGAGAUAGUCUUCUCAAAGAAAUGGAAAGCAACAGUUGUGUAAACUGAGAAAAGCUAGCCAACUUUCAGGAGAUAAGGAAGGAGAGUCUCUUGCCGAGGCAUGAGAUUAAUAGUAACACAGAAGAUUUUUACUUUGCUUGAAAGGUGGCGAGAAUUUAGAAAUGCUUUAGGACUAGAUUUUUAAUUUUUUAGAAAACUAUCACCAUUUGUUAUGAAACAUCUCCUCAGUUGUUUGGGGUGGGGUUUUCGUUUCUUUUUUUACUUUAAAAACUACUUUAUUGACUGGCUCCAGGCAUGUUUGCCUAAAUUCUUAGGUAGUUUACACAAGUUCUAGAAUCUUCUAGAACUUAAAUUCCAUUGGAAGCAAACCCAGCUGAUCAGAAUUUGAGAUCCUGGUUGGUUUCAUUCAAUAGGUGUUCUGGAAUUCUGACAGAACACCUAAAGAUUUUUUUAAAGAAGGUUUUAGAUACAUUAUCUUACACAAACUGUGACCUGAUGGCAAUAAUUACCUCAAAUGUGGGCAUUCAUCCUGGUUAUAGCCUUUUUUGAAAUCAUGUAGCCAGCUUGAUCUUGGGAUUUAAAAGACUAUGAACUCUGUGUGGGCUGAAAAUAACGAUUAAUGCACACCCUGGUCAUCGUUGCUUAAGUGAACUCUGAAAAUAGGUAAUCUUUACAACAAAAAUGGAACCAAGGAAGAGAUUAUUCCUUGUGUUUUGUAAUCAAAUGUGAUUUUCAAAUGCACAUGUUAAGUAUAUAUGUUUUUAGCUACUGUAAAAUGCUGUUAGGCUUCUAAGAUAUCAAGAGAGUCACAUUUUAAAACACGUGAACUAAAUAAUUGACUGUGGAUACUUAAGCAUAUUUCUGGCUACGUUUUAUAGUUAAAGUGUUUUAUAGUUUACAUGUAAACUGGUACUUUUUAAAGAAAAUUUCUGUUUAUAACUGACAUCUUCAAACCCCAGCAAUUUCGCCUCUUUAGUUGGAGGCCACGUUCCCCCAAGGCACCCCAAGGCAGGUGUGUUCUACCCGUACUGUUGUGUAGCCUUCCACAUUACUGGUUUCCAUGGGAACAUGAGAGAAUGUGAAAGGAUUUCCAGGUCGAGCAGGGAAGGGGUGAGUCCACAGCCUGGGCCAGAUGCGAAGAUCUCGUGCCACGUUGUAUCCACACUGGUCGUCAAGGCCUUCUCUUUGACAUCUUGGAAGAGGCAGAGAGAACAGAUACCUGGUUUGUUGAUUCUGUCUUGAUUUGAAUGUUUAAUUUAUUCAUCGGUCCACUGACUUCCAGUCACCGGGCAGUAGAAGACACUGGGAUUCAGGUGGCCCCGAAGGUACAGCUGCUAUUUCUGGGCCCCCAGCAACAUUCUGAUUGGCGUUUUGCAGGGGACAGUCAUACACCCCUGUGCCCAUACUUAUUGGUUGGGUUUUCCAUCUAUCUGCUGUCAUUUGUUCCUUUUCUCCUUUAAAACAAAAUAAGUGUAAAAGGUUGUGUUUCCUUUUCACUCUUUGUCAAACUUCGUUUUAAAGCCUAGGUCAUUAGGAGGUGGGAUCUAGAUUUUUUGCUAGAGAUUGUAAGUGCUGCUGAGUGGGGGAGGAGGGGACUGGGGACCGAGGGGCAAUGGGGGUAGGGGGGAGGAGCAGUGAGAUCCGUCCGAGUAGAGGUCAUAAUUGAGAGGGCCCAUCACCAUGAUGCAGGAGCCAGUUUCCCUAAGAGUUUUGGUUCAUUUCUUCUUUUCUCUUGUGCCACAACCUUGGUGCAGAGGACCUGCUGUGAUCUGAAGGGCAUUCCUUUAGCAGAUAACACCUUGAAAACUGCUGAACACCUGGGACCAGGGAACGAACUGGUGGUUGUUUUUAAUGCAUUUGCUUUUUCGCUGUGAACUCUGUUGACAGUAUGCUCUUAUCACGGUUUUUGGUUAGAAAUGUCAUUGUAAAAUAUUUUUCAUCUUGCCCCUCCUAAUUAUCCUCUGCUUUCCUCUGUUUGGUUUUUUCCCUUUGAUUUAAUUAACCAAAUGAAUUUUAUGUCAUGGUCUUUGGGGCUUAAUCAUAUUUUUUAAAAAUAAAGGUAUAGAAAUUGGCUUUUUUUUUUUUUUUUUAAGUACAUACGCUGUAUCUGAAAAAGGACUCUGCCCUCGCUCUCUGGUUGCCUUUCAGCCAGCCUCCACAUGAACCUCCUGGCACUCCCUCCCCCCUUCUUGUGUUGGGUCACUGUCCCCGAGGCCACCUUGGCCUCUGCCCUGCUGUCACCACAGCCCCGUGCCCAGGCACCCAGGACUCCCAGGAAGCUCUCAAGAGCCAGGAAGAAGGACCCACUUAGACUUGUGAGUGGUGAUCUUGCCUCCCUGUUAGAUGCUCGCCUGCUUGGUUGAAGGGGCAAUGGAUUUACUAUUAUUGUUAUUAUUGUUAUUAUUAUUAUUAUUAAUUAUUAUUUUAAUAGUUUGGCUCAGGAAGAACUUGGGAGAUGGAAAGUGACUUGACCACGCCCAUCCUUCGUAGCUUUCUGUGACUUAUGGAUGGAACCUAAAGUGUCCCCACCUCACCCCACCCUCCUCCCUUCCUGCAGAUAUUCCUGUUCGCCGCCACCGCGGCGCAUGGUUUCUCCCCACCGUCUCACUCCCCCUGUCACCUUUCACCCUUUCACUGUUGUGUUACUGCUCAUUUAAAGCUUUCUUCUGUGGCUUUCCCAGGGCACAAUCAUUUCUGGCCCCCAAAGCAUCUCCUCAUCCUCUUUCUGUGCGUUUUUUUUUAACCAAAUGAAGUAGACCAGGAAGUCAUACUUUGGGGCAGCAGAGUUUCCAGUCUAGUAGAAUCACUGUAUAGAUAUAGAUGCUGAUAUAUAUGUUUGUGUAUAUAUAUAUCAAACCAAAUUUCUGAUAGGAAAAGUAUAGCUUUACGGAUGAAGGGGGGAGAGGAGCUUUUAGAAGUCGGAGUCAGCGUUGGGUGGUGGAUGGGGGGAGCCCGGGGCGGCCCAGGCUGCACCUUCGCACGUGGCCUGAGGCCGGGCGCCGGGCCCCGGCCACCACCCUGCCACAGUGGAGGCAGGUGGCCCCAAAGGGGAGCCGCUGCUCUCUGGGUCCCUAGCGACAAGGGCAUAGAUGAGUGAGGGGGGCAGCACAUCAGAAUGACCGGAAUUUUCCAUCCUGUUUUGCUUUGACCACAUGUUAUUGAGCUGCAGCCUCUGAUAUUAUAUCAUGUUUCCAAAAAUGGUAUCCAUUAGGAUGGAAAGAGAACGGAUCUGUAGAAAUGUUUACCUUUCAACUGCCCACAAAUUCAGGACACCCUGGAUAGAAAGCCGCACUCCCCAGAAUGAGAGCAGGGAAGAGGAGGCCCGGUGAGGCUCAAUCACCGGUCUCAGGAACGCGGUUCCUCCCCAGGGCCAUCUCGCCCAGAUCUUUCUCUACCAGGUCAUCUCAGCUCAAUUACCCUAUGGAAGCCCUGGCCUGUUGUGUUCCUUCACUGUACGGUUUCUGUAAUAAAAAGUGUUAAUCCAUGUUAAUCUUUGUGAAAAUUAUUGCGUGCAACAGUAUUUUCUCGUGUACCUCUUUUUCCUAUGUGAAUUGUCCCUCUUUUCUUUUUUUAUUUAUAAAUGUCUACUUUUUUAAAAAGACAAACCAAUGUGUUGUAGGCCUAUAUGUAACCUAUCCCUUAGUCUCAUAUUAUAGGUAUAAGAAUGGAUAUUUUACUUGGCUUUAGAAUGUUUUACAAGAAAAAUAAUUCUUAACUGAUCAAGUCCUUGCUACUAAAAUGCUUGUGUUUUUCAUCAUGACGUCGUGUGCUUCUAAAUUAAUGAUCAUUUUCGUUGUAGAAAAAUGGAGUGAAUUUAUAUUAGUCUUGGAAACUAAUAAUAGCAUUGUAAAUUUAUGAGAUGAUUUUAACAGAAAAAAAUUAUAGAAGAAUAUAGUUAUUUUAAUUGUAAUAUUACUAACUGUAGGGUGAGAAAGGGGGGUCCCGUUGUGGUGAACUAUGUUAUAGCUUGUUACUUACAGUUUCUUUUUGAUCAUUUUUUCGGUCUCUGAGGUGAAACGAGUUAUUAAUUAAAAUUUGUAAACUCACAUAUGCAUAUUGUAUAUGUGUAGAAAUGUAAUCACACUUUGUCUUGGAAUUACAUUAAACUGUUUGGAAUCACUGUACACUCAGCCUGGCAUGCUUGUUUAUUCUAGAACCAGACCAGUUCUGAGGCUACAGAGGUUAUCGUUACCAGCCACAUCUUUUGUAAGUUAUUUAGCCCUCCGGAGAGUAUUCAAUACCUCUGAACAUGUUCGCAACCCACCACUGCAUUUAAAAUUUGCCACUAUGUGUGGCGGUGGAGGGCGGGCUUUGAGGUCGUUUCACUACCUGCUCCCGGGCAGCUGGGCGGAGGGCGGGGAGCAUGCUCACUGCCACUAACUCUCCCGAGCCGUUCCAACCCUCACGGCUCCCCAGCUCCAUCCCUGAGGCCUAAGGCGUUGCUGUCACCUGCCAUCCGAAGAGCUUCCCAAGUUCAUCCCGGAUCUGGGUGCGGAGCCGACAUCCUUUGCACUAGGGCCUUGCCCUCUCGCGAGACUUCAGUGCCAGGCAGCCUCUAGCUCGCCGGCCUCACCACCAGGUCCUCCCCGGGACGGCCCACCGGAGCUCCACCACGCCUCAGAGGAGUAAGGCCCUGCGCCCACCCCAUCCCUUCCUGUAACCAGAGCUCUUUCUGUCAAGCAUCCGCCCCCUACCUGGGAUCCUCCUGCUUUUCUCACACCUGUGCCCUUCAAGAACCAGCCUGAGUCAUUUUUCUGGGAAGCUUAUCCUCAGGUUCCUGAUGAGGUGGGUGUCCCUCGCCCAGGUUCCCAACCCCUUGUGCGUAAUUCUCAUUAUGCCAUACUGUCAACCUUUCUUUCCUGAUUUUCCUUCCCCAUGGAACCACAAAAUCCUUGCAGGUAAGGAUUUGUCUUUCAUCUCUAUUUCUAGGGCAUCUGUUACCCUGCCGGGCAGAGUAGGAAGUCAAGAAAUAUUUGGAUAAAUAAACUACUCAGCCCGUGUUAUUGUCCAAUCCACCCACCUUCCCACCCUCCAAAUUCCGUGUCUCCCAGAAUUCAGGUAAUACUAAUAAACCCUAAAUGCAGCCAAGGUUAAAUGCAACUCAACCAAAAUUCAAGUUCCAUAAAAACCCAUGCCAAAGAUUGUGACAGAAUUCAGAAUGCUUCCAACAUACUUUUUUUUAAGUUAGAAAUGCACUGCCAGGGAUCACAGUCCAUGGAAAUGGAGGGAGAAGCAGACCCUAUAUUCCAAGUGAGAUAAGAGCGUGUCAACAGGGGAAUGCAGUGCAGCUGUGUCUAAGGAUCUACCCACCAGCGUCUCCAGCAAGUUAUAUGAAUCUAAAGUGAAAAGACAAACGUAUUGCGCUCAAUAUGUUCCUCCAAGCACAUUCAAUACUGGGGAAAUUAAAAAAACAGAUUCUUCCUUGAACUGAUAAUGAACAGGAAGCAGAGUUCUAGACGCCCAUAACAAGUGCUAUUUCCCAGCAGAGCCGAGGAGCCCCUGGAGGAGGGCCAAGCCACAGAUAGAUGGUGCUCUCACCCGGCAGCCAGCUCGGGACUCUGCCCACUGGGGCUUUGGCCUUGGGGGGAGGUGCUCCCACGUCACCAAGCUCCCCUUGCUUUGGGGGCACGUUGUUGUGUAGUGGAUGUCGUGCCCAAGAGACGGUUCCAAACAGCCAGGUGUACUACAUUUUUUUGUGAGAGUCUGACUUACAUGUUUUCUAACUCUUUCCUGGAAUAGCUAAGCUUAAGCGAAUAUAAGUAUAAAAGCAGAGAAUACAGUAAGAGCAAAGGGUAAAUGUAACACUGGUGGGGUGGGUGUCCUCAUGAUCUCUUCACUGUGUGCAGUCCCUCCCUUCUGCCAGUACUCAGCUUUAACGAAGGAGCCUCGGACCCUCCCCCCUCCCCCCUGGCACGCUUUAGGUCCAACUUGGUCCAUGCAAACGGCCUCCAAUAGAUCUUCCUUAGAAGAUCUAUGUUCCUUACACUGCCUGGCACUGCUUGAGGGUGGGAAAAAACCCACUGUUCAGCAACAACCCUAAUCCUCACUCUGUAGGGAAGAAACAGCCAGGAGCGAGACAGUCCUCCAGUUCUGUGAGACUGAAACGGUGCGUGAUGAGUCAAAUCCACUCCACCUGCCUUCACUAAUCACGAUCGCUUUAACGCUUGCGUGGCCUCCAAGCCGCACGUAGCCCGAACAGCAAGAUCUUUGCCCGAGUUGUUUUCCAGGAACUUGGAGCUGCAGCUGCCUCUAGUUCAGCUUAACCAGUUAAAACUGGAUAGGACCGGCGAUUCUCCAGCUGGGCACCUGCAGGGACCCGUAGCUUAGUUACGCCUGCGCAGAACCAUGAUUCCCGCACCUUUUUCCCAUAACCUUUCCCCGUGCGCCCGCGCUUCACACCGCCCUGCUUCUUUAUUCGUCAUCCCGUGAAUACCCCCAAGCCCCUCGCCUUUGGGGAGGCAGGUUUGAGAUCUGAGAUUUUUCUCCCAUAUUCUCUGCUCGGCUGCCUUGCGAAGAACCCUCUUUGCUGUGAACUUCGGCGUCUCAGCGUUUUGGCUGGCUGUGCGACAGCAGGACAAGGCUGGUUUGAACUGAUGAAGGACUCUGAUGAAGAAGCCCAGAUCACUGAUGAUUUAAUGACCUCCUAAUAAAACCACUUUGGACAAAACCACAAAAAAAUUUUUAAAGGUUGCAUUCUGGGGCUUCCCUGGUGGCGCAGUGG